AGAAAUAUGCAUUUGAAAUGCCAAGGUGGUGUGUGGGAGAGCCAGGCCCUGCUCCCUGAUUGGCCGGUCUCUUCCUGGGUGCUUUUAGUUGGAUUGCUUAGGCUUGGAUCUGCAGCAGUAUUUAGGCAUUUCCUGCAAAAAGAGAUGAAAACGAGCUCUGUUUUCUAUGGAUGUGCUACAAACUCCUUCUUUGCCUCUGUCCUCUCACAUAAAGACUAAUUGGCACGUGCUGUUACAGGACACGUGAAUAAGUAUACUGAAGGCUGACAGUUUCAGGCGCUACGGUAAAAGGAGUAAGGGCAGUGAAAUUUAGCAAAUAUAAAUUCUAUUUUCAAAUUAUAGAAUUAUAGGCCUCCGUGACUGUUCAGUGUUCCCAAAUCUCUCGGGUACUUUAGGAAACUGCCCACAGAACAGGAAUUGACAGGUAGGAGAAAGGCAAAAUACAACUUUAUUAUUGACUUUAUUGAUUUAGUACUGGAGUAUUUCAACAGGGUGUGCUAAAUGAAAGAUGUUAAGGUGAUUAUAAUUCACAUUGUACAUUCCCUGGAAAUUGUGAUCAUUAAUUUUUUCAGUGUAACGUUCCUGAAAAAAGAAAGAAUGUUCUAAAGCUUGUAAACAUUAUCUGAAAAUAAUUAAAAAAACAAAAACCAAAAACAAACAACAAUGUGCCAAAGUUAAUGGCGAGUCCCAGAGUAACAGAAGUUCCCCUGGCCUAUUGUUGCCCUUUACAACAAAAAUUCUAAUGGGGAAACUGUUAACAAUUGGAAAAUUUUACCUAAGCAACUAAGAAGAUUAUCUCAAGUAACAUGACUAAAGAGGAAGUAUGGUGGGCCAUGUAUGUUGCACGCUGACAUUCUAAACACAUUAACUAUUUGCAGUGGGUAAGGCAAUUGUGACGGGUUGGCCUGAAGGAGGCAAUUUCAGCAUGGGAAAUAUAGCAGUCUUUGUUUCACUGGUACAUCCAGAGGAACAGAAAUCCUAACUGAGCUUUGCUGUCCUACGUCAGACAUUCACAGCCAGAAACCACUGACUGGACUGCUUCUGUGCGUACACAAAGUAAGCAGUGGCCUGGACAGAGAUGGCUGUAGGGUUGAGGACUUUAACGCAGUUUUUGAGGACUUAGUAAAAGGCAUGUAUUUAAAAUCAUAGUAUUUUCAGAACAUCAGAAGAACAACUUCAAAAAUUCUGAAGAGAUCUUAUGCAGAGGUACCUUUUUGGAUACAAGAGCUAUGUAGCUUUAUAUUAAUCUCUUAUUUUGCAGUGCUUUGACAGUGAGGAAUGAGCCUUGUCCUGGGCAUAUAUUUAACACUGCUGUCACUGGUGCCACUUUGUACUACAGGAAUUAUGUAAGGAAAAAUAAGUAUAAAUGAGAAGUGAGUCAUUAUCAGUGUAUGCUGAAAGUGCUGUUAGUCUGAACCAAAAUGUUUUGGAAAUUCUAAGUUUAAAUCUUGGAAGGAAAUCACGUCCAGAAAAAGAAAACACUGAGUUCUUCUCUGAUGCUCGAUUAAUAUGGUAUAUAAAUAUGACCAAAGCAAUGAGAAUGAGAUUUCACUGCUAGUGUUGAGGGAGUAAUACGCUGGGAUUAGCAACAGAAUAGGAGGAAUGAAUGGGAAUAUCCUCUGACUGUUUGUUCUCUUUGAAAGAUGAUCUCUUUGCCUGAGACUUAAGAGUUACUACACAGCUAAUGGCUGAUACAAAUGGCUGUAGAUAGGUUAGAUGGCCUCAAGAUUGAUGGCUGACUGUUGUUGGUCUAGGUUUUUAAUCCAGGCUUCUGCUGGAAUGCAAAGUUCCUAGCUCACGAUCAAUUAUACAAAGACAUCAAGAAGAAAAGGGCAGCCAUGGUAUUUGUCUGCUUCUCAAGCUGCCCAAGAUGUGAAACUAUUUUUACUUGCAGGCACAUGCUUGUUAAUGCUGAGCAGUGUAAUGCUUUCUUCUUAUUACAGAACUUUGCUUGCAGUUAAAAGUCAAAACAACACCACCACUUUGCUUUUAGUUUCUGUAUUAUUCUUCUAUUUAGUUUAUGUAGUUUUCCUCUAACUUACACAGCAUGAAAAUGGGAUAAGACAAUGCGAUUGGCAGUAGAUACAAAUAAGACCAAGUUUCCAUGCAAAAUAGAAAUAUUAAUUGUAUAACUUAUAGCCAAAGUUAAAAGGGGGCUAAAUUAUUUGAACAUACAAAUUCUUAACUACUUGGUCAAAUUUGGUUAAAAUGUAUGAAAAUCCUGGUUCUAAAUUUCUAAUGAAGUCUUUCUUCCAAAUGUCAGUCGUUGUGAAUUCCAACACUUCUGUUGGUGGUCAGUCAACAGCAGUCCAAAUUUUAGGUGAGCUAAUACUGCAUUUUUAAAGCUGAAAGUAGAAGACAACCUUAGUUCUUUUUGUCACAUCUUUCUGUCCACUGAAUAAUUCUCUAAUCAGUGUUUGUUGAUUUUUUUCUAUAAAUAUUUUUUUCCUACUUCUCAUUGUGCCACAUUAAGUCACCAGAAUAGUCUAUGGAGAGCAGCUGCAACUGACUGUGAUGGUGCAUAAUCCUGGGACUAUCCUUGCCCUCUUCAGGGAAACAAAGACACAGCCUAUUUUCUCUUCCCUUUCUGUCCAGUAUGGGUUCCUUAACUCAUAGUUUCAGCCACGAGACAGGACAUCCAGUGUGAUUACAGCAAGUCCAUAUGGUUCUUGAUUGCUUUUUCCCAAGGUAAGGAUUAGAGAACAUCAAAUGCUGCUUCAUAGAGAGAGGAAAUCUCAUGUAAUGCUUUUGUUCUGCUAACAUUUAUGUAAAGAGCUGCCUGGGAGUUUUGGAAUGGAAUCUGUCAUCACAGUAAUCCUGUUCUGGAAAAUAAUGAUGGAGACAGCACCGGGAAUGAUGUCAUUGACCAUCGGACAAAAUCACUGCCCACAGCAAAAUCAUAUCCUCACCAAACUUUCCUUUAUGUCUGACAUUUGAAUGCCCAAUUGGCAAGAUUAUUGGUGUUGCUUUUUUUCUUUUUUCUUCUUCCUUUCACAGCUGUGUUAAAAUUCAAAACACAGAUAUGCAAGAAAAAGGCUAAUACAGAAGAGGGUCUGUUCAAUACUCUCUGCAGACUUCAGAGGAAUUUUUGUGCAUGCUGCCUUCAGUGUCAUAUACAGGAAAUUCUUCUUUGGUCCAUACAAUGCAAUAAACAAACCUCCUGUGUGCUAGCUUUAGCAUUUAGCACUUCCUUAACAUUUCACGGUGAGUGAUAAAACUGUAAUGAAGAAUCAGUUUGCUUUAUGAGGGUUCUGGCCUACUCUCAUUCUUGCAUACACAUAUUUGCUAAGGACCUGUUAUCAUGUAGGGUGAUAGUUAUUGCCUGUUGUGUGAAAUAAUGAAAAAAUGCUAUUUGUAUACUGUUUGGUAGUAAUUGAAUCAUCACAUAAUCAUAGAAUUGUUUGAGUUGGGACUCCUAAAAGACAUCUGGUCCAACUCCCCUGCAAUGAACAGCAACACCUACGCUAGAUCAGGUGCUCAGAGCUCCAUUCAGCCUGACCUUAGGUGUCUCCAGGGACGGAGCACCCAUCGGCUCUGCCUACCUGUGCUUCAAUUGGAUUUGGUUAUUAUCUUUUCUGCCUUUGUAGAUUGUUCCAACGGUGAUGAGAAAACAGUGACUAAAGGAGGGGGGGGAUUUGGAUUAGGUGUCGGGGGAAGUCUUUUACUGAGAGAGUGGUGAGGUGCUGGAACUGGGUGCCCAGAGAUGUUGUGGAUACCCUGUCCCUGGAGGUGUUUAAGGCCAGAUUGGAUGGGGACCUGAGCAAUCUGACCUAGUAUUUGAUCUAGUGGCAAUACUACGUGUGGGAGAGGGGUUGGAACUUGAUGGUGCUUGAGGUCCCUUCCAACUCAAGCCACUCUGUGAUGAGAAACAGGUGAUGUGUACUGCACACAUGACUCCAGUUGUGGGUGCUCAUUUUGCUGAAGGUGUUACUCUUUGCUAAAAGUAUGGAGAAGCUGUGGAGCCUGAAAUGUUAUAAUUGCCUCUAUUGAUAACUUUUAUCUUUUUAAGAUUGAUCGCAGAAAAAGUGGAGUGCAGAUGGCCUUUUUUUCCUUGAUGAAUGUUCAAAAUUAUUUUCAGUUCAUGAAGAAAACGUCAUGGAAAAGGAUGGAGAGACAGUGCUCGCUUUUCUCCCAACUUCUUUGUUUAACUUAUUUCUAUUUAUAUAAAUUAAUUGCAGAAAAGAAUAACAGGAAAAAGGAAGAGAGAGAGAAGAAGCAAUGUGUACAGAAAAAUACGUGACUGGCUAAUAAUGUCUAUUUUUUUUUUUUUUGUGUGUUUAUAAUCUGUGAAGCUAUUGAACACCAAAAUGCACUGUCAGGUAGCCUCCCUACUAGAUCCUUGAGUGACAAGUUAGAAUUCUUUUGCCUUUGGGGCUUUGUUUUUGUUUUUUUGUGAGUGUAAGAUCAUCACAGGAAUGUGUUAAUUCCUUUCGUUUUUCAGCCUGUUUGUCUUAUUGCUAGCAUUAUCUAUCAGGAGCAUGGACUUGAUAAGGUCUCAUGUUGUUUUCUUGUUAUUCUAAGUGUUCUUAGAAUUCUUAUAAUAACUGUUACUUCCCAGUAAGUUUGAUCAAGUGGAAAUGUUUUGUAUCUCCUGAGAGGUGUCUAGUUCUGUCUCAGAGAUUUUUUUGCCUAAGGACAGCUUGACAAGGAUCCUGGCAAGAUCCCGCACUGUGAAUCACAGAGUAGAACCAUAGAAUGGCUUGAGUAGGAAGCACCUCAAGGAUCAUCUAGUUCCAACACCUACUGCUUUGUCAGGCACCAGAUCAGGCUGCCCAGGGCCCCAUCCAACCUCACUUUGAACACCUCCAGGGAUGGGUCAGUGAUAACUUCGCUGGGCAGCCCAUUCCAGCACCUCACCACCCUCUCAGUGGAAAAACUUCCCCAGUGAAUUGGAAAUUCAGCUCAGUUUCAAAAUGAAGGUAAGUGCUGGGAAAUUUUGAGACCUGUGGAUGAAAAACGGUGCAUCAGUGUUUCCCUCUGUGACAAAUCUCAGUAAUUUACUGAGAUAGAAAUGUCACAUUGCAUGCUGGCACUUUAUAAGUGCUGGAAUUUUCCUGUAUACAACACUUCUGUUCGUGACAGUUGGAAGGAAGUUCCACUGAGGCAUUUUGGGACUGAAAUUUAAACUGAAUCUCAUAGCAAGAAUUUAUCAAAAGUAAGACUGACUGUAUUUUUAAAUGCACUAUACAGGAAACAACAGAUAAUCAUGCAGUCUGUUGGAAACAUUUAACUAGGCUUUAAGCAUUUAACUUUAUAACCUUUGUGUAAUUCCUAGACUUUUAUAGUGUCACUAAUUAUUUGCUAAAAUGGUUGUCAGUAAUAGAUAGCUUUCUCAAACAGCAUUAAUCCAGCUUCACAUGGACAGUAUAUUUUCCUGCUUUGGCUGUGAAGCUCUUGGGCAGUGUUAUCUUGUGGGGGGAGGGGGCUGUGCUGCCAACUGGGAAUCUUCAACACAAAAACUAUUAAGAGGUGAUAAAUCAUUGGAGGCCCAGAGUGUGAUUAAAAGCUGUGGCCACCAGCAGUGACCCAUGGGGAAGGAGGUAUCAGUGACAGAGAGCAGGGGGAGGUGUUUGGCAUUCCUGUUUGGAGGCCUAACCAGGGCACUGGGGUCUGUUUAUGUUUCUGUUCCACCGACUCCUGUGAAAUGCCCUCUGUCUGUACAGGGAACACACAUUGAGUUAUGGAAAGUAUCUUUGGUAUUUCUUGAAAUGUCAAGGCGUGGAUACUUGAAGGUAACGUGUGAGGUGAAUUACCUGUGACCGUGAAGUGAAAACAAAACAGUCAGUUCAAGGUUCUGUGGCUCAGCAGUCGGAAUCACAGUUGUCAUAAUUUUAGGUGAGCAGAAUGCUGUAAGUGUGACUCCUUUCCUCUGUAUUAAGCACUUGUCCAUUUAGGAAAAGUACUUUUUUUCUUGAAUCAACCAGCAUCUAAUCUUGGGAUCUACUUUUUCCUUUGCUUAGCAGAAAGCUUGGUGAAAUAGGAGCCCACAAAAUAUUGGAAAAAUCGUUAGGAUUUGGCCUAUUCUCUGAGUUAAUGGAAAAGAUAACACCACUUAAACGAUGUGAUGCCUGAUGUGACACUCUGGUGCAAUGCUGCAUUUUAUCCGGGUAUUAGCUCUUCAGAGGAAGGAUCACACCUCUGGAUCCAUACUGUAUAAAAGAAAUCUUGGGGAAAACUGAGAAAAUCCAUCCUCCAACACUGGAAGACAAUAUUACUGUCAAAACAAAUGAUUAGUAUUUGGGAUAUCUGGCUUCUUUUCUCAAAAUCAUCUGUGACUUUAAGCAAGUCAUUCAGGGUGUAUUUUUGGAACAGCUAUAGAAGAUUAAUAUGCAUUAGUACAGAAUGGAUGGUAAAACACCAUCAUGAAGUCAUACUGGCGAAGACUGCAAUCUGAUGUGUGGGUUUCACAGUCACGCAUGUAGAAAGUGAAUGUAAUUCUGAGUAUCCUGUGUGUUGUUACUCUUAGGGUGAGAGUUUCCAUUUCAGUACUGGCAAUGAAACUGAGGCAUAAAAUCCGAUAGUGUGGGGGAAGUCAGAGCAGAGUAACUCUCCUUGAGAGGAAAUGUUGAGGAGUGGAGAUCUGGACAGAUACGGAAUGCAGAAAGCGGUGAUAAGAAAGCAGACAUUAUACACCUUGAGCUGUUACAUAAAAACAACUUUACUUUCUUAGGCUCUGAAAGAAAAAUUAUGGAGUAAAAUAAAUUGGCCUUAUGCCUCUUGAACUUGCUAGAAUCAAGUUAUGCUGUUAACUACAACGCUAACUUGAGAGAUCUUAGCUGAAUGAUAUUGUCACUUUCUCUCUUUUUCUUCUCUCUUUUCCCCCCCACUCUCUUGGGAAACAAUUCUGUUUUUGCUGAUUUGUAUCCAUUAGGAACAAAUGGCUGCAGAGAGUGUUGACAGGGAUCCAGAUGACAGUUCUGAUAGUUAUGGGGAGGCUCACAGCAUUACAGAAAGUCAACCAAAGCUCUGGGCAGCAAACCUGGAUUUGGAAAGGGAAAAUCCUAGUGCAUUUCUGGGCUAACGUCUGUAAACAUUCAACCUGUGAUGGUAUUGUAUGUGGUAUCUAACAGAUCAGUCCUGGGUGUGUAUUACCAUUUGCCAUUCUGCAUACUUCUGUCUCUGAACAGCUCUGGAUCUAAUGAAUGGUGAGGGAAGUGUUCUUAAUUCUGCUUUUAGGGUAUUACUUCUUUAUAGAAGGUGGUCAGUUCCACUACUUAGUGUGUACCCAUGACUCAGAACUUCUCCCUCCUCCUUCUGGUUGUGAUGUUUACUGUAAUCUGUAAAUUGAGGCAACUGCAAAUUCUGUACUCCAUCAGCAAAGAACAGUAAUGUCCUUUGCUUUGCAUUUGUCUGCAGUUGAGUCUGGCACAAGCGGGCACAACUUCAGAGAUGGGUUCAAAAAACACUCGGAUUACGGCAGUUCUUAAUCACCCACAUGAUUCCGGGCCCUCUGUGGAAAUUGUAGAUUCUGUUUCCCUGCCCAAAGGGCUUCACAGUAACUUGUAAGAGUAGAAGAAUAGAAGAGUAGAAGAACAGUGAAAAUCAGAAUUGGUUGUGGAAUCAGAAAGCAGUAUGGAAUACAUGGAGAUGAACAAUUCGGCAGAUUGGAAACUUCAAAAUAUUUCAAAUGUUGUGAAGUGUUGCUCAGCUGGGUUCUAGUUUUAACCUGCAGUUUCUGCUGGAUCCCACAGAUGAUUGCAGUCGACGAAGCAGACAGGACACCAGAGUGGAGAACCUUGACAGUUCCUUCCUCAGAUCUCAAAACAGGUUUUUAUAUGAGGUGUCAAAAGUUACUUUAAUUGUUCUCCACAUUUCACUGCCUUUUACUGGUAAGCUUCUUGCCCACAUUUUGGUCUAGAAAGACUGCCUCAAUACGAAGGUUCACCUGGUACUUCUCAAAAUGAACAAGGCAUACUGUCUCAUUGGGAAGCCUCAUAUUCCAAAGCCUUUAUGCAAGAUUUUAGUAAAGCACCUGUAUAAAAUGGGAAACUUCAUUUGUCAAUUGCAUUAAAAGAAGUCCAUAUAAAAUAAAAGCUGUCAGGCGCAGCAUCCGCUGGACAAGAUUAGGUAUAGAUCUAUCAGCACAUUUUAGAAAACUUCUACAGUGCUGCAAAGUAGGGUUUUCGUUUGACCCUGCAUAGCAAACUUGUGAGUUGGCUUUUCAGGAGGUGUUUACAUUUGGGAUUGGGAAUGAUGUAUCCUUCCCUUCAGUAUGUAUCACGAGUGAUUGCAUCUAGAUGCAUGUAGAUUCAUCCAGUAACAGCUCAUCCUUGCAUGAGUUUGCGCUGUUCAAACAUCACAGGAUACGUAUCACAUAUGACUAGAAUGAAUGUUUUCUGACUGCGUACACGUACUUUCUAUCAUGGAAAAUGCAAAAAUCUAGAUAAUAAAAAUUGAAAACUAGGUGGCAGUAAUAACCCAGCCAUAUAGCUCUCCUGUGAGUGAAGACGGGAUGACUCAUAGAUUUCUUAGAAAUCCUGAGGGUGCUGCAGUCCCAUACAGUCCCAUGGCUUAGCUAUUAACAAGUAAAAAAGCACAGGGCUGAGUGUUCAUAUGGAUUCAUUUGUUUGAAAGCAGAACAUGAUCUGCUUUGAUUAAAGAGGGAUAUCAAGAAGUGAAUUGAAUAUUAUAGGUGAAUUAAUUAAUGGAACGGAGCUUGUUUAAUUGUUAAAUACAUUAGAAACAAUUUUCUUGCAAUGAAUGGCGGAAGAAGAGGAGCUGUGUUUGCUUCUGAAACUGUUGUUACUUGUGGUUGUGGCUAGGGGCCAGCAAGUGUUUGAGAGUUCAUAAGCAGAUUGCAGUUCACAGUGAUGGUUAUAUACAGGCUGUAGGGUGGGUAUUCCUCUCAAGCCAGAGUAAGCUAAAAGUAACAUGAGUGAAAUUGGCAGAAUUACUCUGUGGAAGGGCUAUUAUUGGCUCUAAAGCUCUCAGGAGUCCAUGAUUAACAUCCUCACUUAUUUAGAGGCAUGAACUGAGGUUACAGUCCUAGAAGCAUUAGACAACAGUAAGAUUUAUUGGCUGACUUCAUUGUUUAAAAGCAAUACUCUCUCCUUAGAUUCAUACAAUUUAAUUGCAUGUGCAAAGAAGAAUGUGAUGUCCUUUUCUGGUUAGCAGAACUGCUUGUGUGGCAGGACUGGGCAGAAAGGUUUGGGGAAUCCUUCCUCCUGGAUGUGGUUAUUUGUCUGUCAGCACUGGAUAUAUGUCGUAUUUUCCUUAUUCCCAUAAAUUGUUUUGUUUGAAACUGGGUCACCUAAACUUUCUCAGAGCUGACUGAGCUGCCACAAACUCAUCUCAUUUCAGCCAACAUUGCGGACAUUUGUUCUGUGCUUGAUUUCAAUUUAUGUAGCUCUGCACACGACAAAGAACUUUCGAUAUCUGCUUCUUUUACAGCUAACAGUUCUGUGCUUCAAAAGAUCCUGUUGAGGUUUAAACUCAGAAGUUGGUGGCAUUCCUGCCUGUAAUAUAAUUAAAGUUGAUGUGCUUCCUCUUCUUCAGUGAGAAGGUUUAAAUAUAACUCCUUCUGUGUCAUUUUUUUUUUCAGUCUAACUAGGAUGUGCCAAUGAGGUAAUGCCAGCAUCUGCUGCUUCUCCUUUUUUUCUUCUUCUUUUUAAGGUAUUUCCCAAAUCCAUUCUUGUUACUACUUCUACCCUUCUGAAACAUGAAUGUAGGAUGUGAUGAGUUCGUAACUGCAGGAUAAUGAAAAAAAGCCCGGGUUUCACAAGUCAUCCAGAGAAUUCAUCUCAAAUGCCUCUGUAGAAACCUAGCAGUAUUUUGUCUUUGCUGUGGGAUUGCUAGAUAGGUGGUCACAGGGCUGUCUGGAUAGAUAAUAGACAGCAGCUGAUGGUGAAGCUUUACCUUGAAAUUAAUAGCUCACUUUACUUUCUAAACUAUUCUUGUUUUCCAAAGCUUCAAUUUUCAUUCCCCCGGGCCAUUCUUUAUUUGCAUAAUAGUGAAGUCUAUCAGCCCUGUAUUUCACUGCUCUCUGGAAAGCAUGAUAAGACUUUUUAAUUAUUUACAUCUUUUUUUUUUUUUUUUUUUUUUUUUUGCAUAUGUUCAGGAGUUUGUUAUGUUAGGAAAAAUUGAUAACUCUUUGGAGUCAGACAGAUUUUAACCAUCUCCAAACUAGAACUCCUGAAGGGAUGGGAAGGGUUCUUGACCUACUCCUGAGGACAUGGGGGUAACCUACUCAUUGGUGCACAGCAGAAAUUUUUGCCUGUCUGGAGUAUAGGAGCUCCUAAGUGAUUACUUUCACCUCUGCAGCUAACAGCUUGCUUAUAAGCAGAAAAAUAAUACUUGUGAUUUUUUUUUAAUCUGCAUUUUACUGGCUUAACUGCUUUUGAUGAUGGACUAUCAGCUCAUUCUUGCUCUUCUGGAGGCUUAGAUGAAAAACUUUUCUGCAGUUCUGGUAGCACUGUAGAACACAUACAUUUGUGGACUUUUGCCCUGGCAAGACUGCUGUCUUCUUUUGAUGAGCAGAGUUAAAGGCCUAUUGGAUAUAUGCCAAUGUUUUAUACUUAAAAAAAAUGGAUAUCUUCCUACAGAACUAUAUUGUUGCGAGUUCCCGUUCCUGUUGCAAUUUAAAACAAACAAACCAAGCUGUGAUAAGUACAGUUAUCAGCAAUAUAGAAAAGUUCAUAGCAAUUACUUUUAUAACAUCACAGAUCUGCUGCGGGUAAUUAACAUGUAUUGCUUUAAGAUCCCGGUACACUUUACACUUUACUAUCACAUCAUAAAUAGUAGGAUAUCUGCGAUCUCUUUCAUGUUUGUGUCUCUGCUUUUGCUUUUACUUGGGUGUUUACCAGAUGACACUUUCUGUCCCUUAAUUUUUUCUAACAGCCUCUUGAAUGCCAAAGCUCCUGUUGCUGGAAACCUUUUUAAGGAAGGAAUAAAAGAGCAUAUAUAAUUUCUGAGUGAGUUUGUUGGCUCCUGUUCUCUUCAAAACUCCAUUCAACUAAAUAUUGCAGGAGUAAUUGAUACAUUUUCCUGCAAAGGGGGAUUGCAGAGUCUUGCAUGUCGGAAGUUAACCAUAGAUAAUUUUUUAUCCUUUCUGGGAAACGCAGAAGCAUCUUUACUUAUUUACAGGAAACCAAACAUGAAUAAUUAACUUUGAACACUUGCAAGUGAAAAUACUGUUUGGAUCUAUGUAUGCUGAGGACAAAAAUCAAUCUGAUGACCUCACGGAGAAGAGGAGACCCGUUGUGUCAGGAGAAUUCAGCCUCCAGAACACAAUGGACUGCCUGCAACUUUUAUGCCUUGCCACACUUGCUGCUUUGGGGCAGUAGUGGAGGGCAGAGCAGGGGCCAGGAGAGGCAGGGCCUCCCUGCAGAACUACAGAUCUACAUGGGAGCUGCCAUGGAAGUGAGUGCCCCUCCUGCCAUGCACCUCUCACAGCUGUUCCUGCAGGUGCAAAGGCAGGCUAUACAGAUUUAUCUACACCUCAUUCCCUUGGAGUGCAGGGUGGAUGGCAGUGAAAGCUACUCAGCAGUUCUUGUAACGUCUCUGCUCUGAGAAUGUUUCCCCUUAAGCGUCAAUUUUCAAUUGGAAAAUACUCCACAAAACAGAGAUACUGCAGUUAUGGAAAGCUGGUCUUGAAAGCUGUCAUGAAAUAAAUAUGUAUACGAUGUUAUAAAAAUGGGUUUUGUAUAAACUGCCCUCUUUUAGCAAACAUUUCACUUCCUAUAAUUGUGUGCGCUUUUGUUUGAACUUAUCAAAUAUGUGAUUGUUCUCCUUCUCCUUCAGGGAGAUAAGAAAUCCACCCUCCGGAUAUGUAGAAUGAUGUUGUUGUAAUCACUCUUCAAAGGGAGAUCCACAGUAAACAAAUGUUAGCAUGUCGCCUCUGCAGCUUCUUUUGGUGAGUGUAUGACUUCCAGAGAAAAGGCUGGGAUGAAGGGGAGAGAAGACGUUUAGCUGAAGAUCCAGUAGAUUAUUUUUCUUUCUUCAGCCCAAGAAAGACCGAAGUUGAUCAGUCCAUGUAAGAGCACUCACCUCAAAAUAUAGUUUUAUUUUUUGUUUCGCUUCAGAAUGGGUCAUCUCUCUCUGAAGUUUGUCAGCAUUACUACAAAUCAGUAAGACUGGGAAACAAAACUACCCUUUAAAGAAAUGUAUUUGGACCAGUAACACUGUAUAACAGCAGUUAGAUUUCAGUGCCUGAGGUACAUAGGAAUUUUACUGUUAUAGUUAUGCCUGCCAAGACUGCAUCCUCUCACUCAAGCUGCUAAUGUUGGCAAAUGUUUUAAAUGCAGACUGUAUCUUAUAGACCUUUUUUUCCCCCCUACAAAUAUAAUAUUCCUCAAUUUGAUCAGAUCAGCCCUAUGGAACUCAAAGUGGCCAGCUCAGUUCAGCAGCGUCAGCCUGCAAGAUUUCCCAGUUUGUCUGAUGAGUGAUUCACCUUUGUCAUGAAGAGGGCAGAGCGUCUCUGAAUUCGAGCUCUCCCUCUUCACUUUUCUGCUUGUAGGCCUAAGGAAGUCCACACUGUUAGCAUAGGUGUGGUUGCUCCAUGUGACACAGCGGAAAAAGGACAAGGCCAGGAUUGCUGCCUUACUCUGCUGACCAUUUGAAUUCUCUGGAGGGCAGAUGCAGAACAUCUGUGAGCUCAACUGUAACAGCUAAAAAAAGUACCAUAUCAGGAUGGGUGAGCUGUCUCCAGCUGAGGCAAAUUAACCUGUGAAGAAACAAAGCAAAAGGCAAGUUAAGAGCUUCCUGAUUUUGCUUAUGAAAAUGAGUUUCAGGUGCAAAAUUGUGAUUAUGUAAAUCAGAUGUAAUCACUCAGUAUCAGAAGAUAACUCACUUGGGCCAUUUAAGGACAGAAGCAAGAACAAAAAACGUGCUAGUGGUCCAUGCUGCAACAUCAGACGAAGGGAGCUAGCUUGGAGCUGCCUUUUGCCACUCAAGUUUAUUGCUUUCUUGGACUUUAAAAUGGUUUCUUCUGAGUGGAGUGAAGAUUGCACUGACCUACAUGUCACUUGAAUUAAUGUAUUCUUGUUUCAGACUUUAUUUUUUCUCUUGGAGCCACUUCUAGCUUAAAUUACCUAGUAUUUCAGGGCUUGAAGACAAGAUCACAGUCACACAAAGAACUAGAACUGUGGGACAUUUCAAGUUUGUCUUCAGUAUUUUUAAAGAAACAUGGUUUGAGCACAGUUUUUUCUUAGCUUACAAAGAAAAAAUAACUAUAUCAGAAAUAAUAGCCAUCACUAUUACAGAAAACCACUUGCUUGGUAAUGCCUUCUUCAGUGAAAGUGAGGGGGAGUGACUAGUCAAGCUAUAUAAAGAACAGCGUGUAAAUCAUAACUGUAGCUGGAGAACUCCUCGACCAUGAGUAAUUCUGCUGCUGAUUCUCAUCUUUUUCUGACGAACACUCCAUUCCCUUUGCAGAGACCGCAGGCGUCCUGAGUCUAAUUGCACGGCCACAUAGUCUCUGCACAUAAUACUUGGUCUGUCAGCUGUUCAUGAGUGAUAUAUUGCAACAACUCGGUGUGCAGUUUUGCCAGUUAGAAUCACGGCUCUCCUGGCAUGUUUCUGAACUCUUAAUAGAAAAGCAAAAUGUUAGUGUCCGGUACCCAGAAAUAUUCUUCAGAGGGAGUAGGCACAAUUAUAAACGUUCACUUUCAGUGAGUGUAAUCAAACUAGUUAUGUAUUCGUGGUAGUUUUCCUGGAAAACAAAAACAAGAGGCACUAUGCUAGCAUAAGCAGAAUUUUUCUUUUAAGUGGAUUUGGAUAUUAUGUAGCAUUCUUUUUCAAAGUACAUUGCUGCUACUUGUCUUGUAGAGUAUUAGCAGAGCAGUGCCAGUUUCUGAUAUUAUGGGGAAAUAUCUGUAUAUGAUCUACUUCUCAGUUACACUUCUGUAUAUCCCAAUGACUGGAAAAUGUACUGUAUAACAUGGGAGGACUACAGGAGGAGAUAAACUAACAGAGUCAAUUACUACAAUAGAGAACAUCAGUGGCAGUGAGCAAUAAGCAGCUAAAUGUAGGGGAAGAACAGUAGGGUGUAAGGCAAGACUUUUCAAAAGCAGCCCACUUCAUGAGAACACAAGAAACUUUGGCGCCUUGGGAAUUUGGUAGUGUUGAACAAAUAAAAUCAUCUUCUGUGACUUUUGUCAGCAGAACCAGCAAGGUGUACACUUCACAUGAAUGAAAGGCAGGAAAAAAAAAAGCGAAGAAUCCAAGGAGUUUUCUGUAUGUUAUUUGUGGACACAUUAUACUUUACACUCACUACACACAGUGUGCAAAAGAGAAAAUGAUCUCUAUUAUUUUACUUGCAUUUUAAAUACAAUUACAUUCUUUAAAAUAGGUUAUAAUAAUUGACUUACAGAC